rnacentral:rRNA from 1 species
ACGCGAAGAACCUUACCAAGGCUUGACAUAUACGAGAACGGGCUAGAAAUAGUCAACUCUUUGGACACUCGUAAACAGGUGGUGCAUGGUUGUCGUCAGCUCGUGUCGUGAGAUGUUGGGUUAAGUCCCGCAACGAGCGCAACCCUCGUUCUAUGUUGCCAGCACGUAAUGGUGGGAACUCAUAGGAGACUGCCGGGGUCAACUCGGAGGAAGGUGGGGAUGACGUCAAAUCAUCAUGCCCCUUAUGUCUUGGGCUUCACGCAUGCUACAAUGGCCGGUACAAAGGGCUGCAAUACCGUAAGGUGGAGCGAAUCCCAAAAAGCCGGUCUCAGUUCGGAUUGAGGUCUGCAACUCGACCUCAUGAA